rnacentral:rRNA from 1 species
AACGAACGCUGGCGGCAUGCCUAACACAUGCAAGUCGAACGAGAUCUUCGGGUCUAGUGGCGCACGGGUGCGUAACGCGUGGGAAUCUGCCCUUUGGUUCGGAAUAACAGUUGGAAACGACUGCUAAUACCGGAUGAUGACGAAAGUCCAAAGAUUUAUCACCAGAGGAUGAGCCCGCGUAGGAUUAGCUAGUUGGUGUGGUAAAGGCGCACCAAGGCGACGAUCCUUAGCUGGUCUGAGAGGAUGAUCAGCCACACUGGGACUGAGACACGGCCCAGACUCCUACGGGGGGCAGCAGUGGGGAAUAUUGGACAAUGGGCGAAAGCCUGAUCCAGCAAUGCCGCGUGAGUGAUGAAGGCCUUAGGGUUGUAAAGCUCUUUUACCCGGGAUGAUAAUGACAGUACCGGGAGAAUAAGCUCCGGCUAACUCCGUGCCAGCCGCCGCAGUAA